rnacentral:rRNA from 1 species
UAUUUCGUGCAUGGAAUAAUAGAAUAUGAUCUCGGUUCUAUUUUGUUGGUUUUCAGAACUCCGAGGUAAUGAUUAAUAGGGAUAACUGGGGGCAUUCGUAUUGCGACGUUAGAGGUGAAAUUCUUGGAUCGUCGCAAGACGAACAUCAGCGAAAGCAUUUGCCAAAGGUGUUUUCAUCAAUCAAGAACGAAAGUUAGAGGUUCGAAGGCGAUUAGAUACCGCCCUAGUUCUAACCGUAAAUAUGUCAUCUAGCGAUCCGCCGAUGUUACUACAAUGGCUCGGCGKUYAGYUUCCGGGAAAYY